rnacentral:rRNA from 1 species
AAGGGGAUAACACUUGGAAACAGGUGCUAAUACCGUAUAACAAUCGAAACCGCAUGGUUUUGAUUUGAAAGGCGCUUUCGGGUGUCGCUGAUGGAUGGACCCGCGGUGCAUUAGCUAGUUGGUGAGGUAACGGCUCACCAAGGCCACGAUGCAUAGCCGACCUGAGAGGGUGAUCGGCCACAUUGGGACUGAGACACGGCCCAAACUCCUACGGGAGGCAGCAGUAGGGAAUCUUCGGCAAUGGACGAAAGUCUGACCGAGCAACGCCGCGUGAGUGAAGAAGGUUUUCGGAUCGUAAAACUCUGUUGUUAGAGAAGAACAAGGAUGAGAGUAACUGUUCAUCCCUUGACGGUAUCUAACCAGAAAGCCACGGCUAACUACGUGCCAGCAGCCGCGGUAAUACGUAGGUGGCAAGCGUUGUCCGGAUUUAUUGGGCGUAAAGCGAGCGCAGGCGGUUUCUUAAGUCUGAUGUGAAAGCCCCCGGCUCAACCGGGGAGGGUCAUUGGAAACUGGGAGACUUGAGUGCAGAAGAGGAGAGUGGAAUUCCAUGUGUAGCGGUGAAAUGCGUAGAUAU